rnacentral:tRNA from 7 species
UGGGGCGUCGCCAAGUGGUAAGGCAGCGGAUUUUGGUUCCGCCAUUCGUUGGUUCGAAUCCAGCCGCCCCAG